CCUACGGGUGGCAGCAGUGGGGAAUAUUGGACAAUGGGGGCAACCCUGAUCCAGCCAUGCCGCGUGUGUGAAGAAGGCCCUCGGGUUGUAAAGCACUUUCAGUGAGGAAGAACGCCUGGUGGUUAAUACCCAUCAGGAAAGACAUCACUCACAGAAGAAGCACCGGCUAACUCCGUGCCAGCAGCCGCGGUAAUACGGAGGGUGCGAGCGUUAAUCGGAAUUACUGGGCGUAAGCGCGCGUAGGUGGCUUGAUAAGCCGGUUGUGAAAGCCCCGGGCUCAACCUGGGAACGGCAUCCGGAAUUGUCAAGCUAGAGUGCAGGAGAGGAAGGUAGUAUUGCCGGUGUAGCGGUGAAAUGAGUAGAGAGUGGGCGGGAUAACAGUGGCGAAGGCGGUCUUCUGGACUUUCACUGACACUGAGGUGCGAGAGCGUGGGUAGCAAACAGGAUUAGCUAUCCUAGUAGGC
rnacentral:rRNA from 1 species